rnacentral:rRNA from 1 species
AUUGAACGCUGGCGGCAGGCCUAACACAUGCAAGUCGAGCGGAUGAAGGGAGCUUGCUCCUGGAUUCAGCGGCGGACGGGUGAGUAAUGCCUAGGAAUCUGCCUGGUAGUGGGGGAUAACGUCCGGAAACGGGCGCUAAUACCGCAUACGUCCUGAGGGAGAAAGUGGGGGAUCUUCGGACCUCACGCUAUCAGAUGAGCCUAGGUCGGAUUAGCUGGUUGGUGGGGUAAAGGCCUACCAAGGCGACGAUCCGUAACUGGUCUGAGAGGAUGAUCAGCCACACUGGAACGGAGACACGGUCCAGACUCCUACGGGAGGCAGCAGUGGGGAAUAUUGGACAAUGGGCGAAAGCCUGAUCCAGCCAUGCCGCGUGUGUGAAGAAGGUCUUCGGAUUGUAAAGCACUUUAAGUUGGGAGGAAGGGCAGUAAGUUAAUACCUUGCUGUUUUGACGUUACCAACAGAAUAAGCACCGGCUAACUUCGUG